CCUUCAGCAUGUAGAAAGGCCUGAUGUCUUCAGAAAGGACAUGCUAAGAUUCAGAAAAAGAGAAUGUACUGUGGAACAAAUUGUCCAGGCAGCUCAUGAUGGUGAACCAGCAAAACUGCACAGCUGUUGGGUGCAUGCAGUGUUGGGUCUGCACCUGCUGUUGGUGGGUCAUACAACUAAAAGGGCACGUUAAGGCACCUAUGCUAUUUCCUGGGAAAACAGAAAUGAAUGUACUUUUAUGAGGGCACCCAGUCUUUGUAAGCCUGCCUAUCUAUGUCUAAUUGCAUAGUUAGAAAAGAUCAAUGCUGCUGGUUUUGUCUCAGGUAUGAAGAUUGAGUUCAGCUGAGAGCAUCAAGGCAAUAAAAUGAGAAAAGCCGAGUCUUGCCUUUUGAAAGCUGGCAAAACAUGGGUGCUGUUUUCUUACUGGAGUGGGUUUGUUUUCCCUAAAAGCAGAAAGCAGAAGCAGUUUGCAAGCUGGCCUGGAGUCUCUUCUCAGCUCAACUGCCUGCAGGUAGUUGGAGCACGUGGAGCCCAUGCUUAACUCUGCAUUUGAUAUGAAAUUUUGAAAAUCCCCCUGCUGAUCUGAGUGAGGACCUCAUCUCUGAGAGGGCUGCCAGUGCCUUGCGCUUGGACUGGACAUCUCCAGUGCUCAGCUGCUGAACAGAAAAGGUUUUGCUGUUUCUGUUUCACAGAAAAUGUUCUGUGAAAUCGAGCAUCUUCCUCCAUUUCCCUGUCUGUAGGGAAAGAAAGAGCUUUACAAAGGUAAAAUGUUCUUUGCUGGGCCAAGGAGUUGUUUUACAGACCACAGAGGGCACAGAAAGCCUUGGUCAGUCUGGAAUCUUCUCAGCGGCAUCUCUGUAAGCCAGAUCAUGCACGUUUUGUGCCUGCCAGCUCUAUUUAUGUUGUCUACAUUUUCCUGUAUCAGGAGUAUAAGACCUAUUUAAACCUCUUCCAGGCACAAGUUAUUCUUCAUAUCUAUUUUGUAAUAUGAAAAAAAAAAACAACACCCCAAGACAAAAAGAAACAAAACAAAACAUGGAGAAUUUGAGAUUGAGUAUAAAAAAAUUAUUUAUCUUGUGAUAACAAUGUAAUUUCCCCAGUUAAUAUUAAUACUUAAAUUAAUACUGAAUUAAUCAAUUAACUGAAAAAUGUGGAAUAGGAGUUUGUAAAUAUCACACAGGAAAUUUAAUAUAUGUGAAUUAAAAUGAUACUGGUCUCUGCUGUAAACAUAAUAUGCACUUUAUUUUUGUACAUGGUCAAACAUGGAAUGAGGCAAUUUAGCCAAAGGAAAUGAUAAGCAAUGUAAGUCAUCACUACCCCAUGGAAAUCUGCAGAAUGCCAAUAAUUUAAUAAAACAUGUGCUUGCUAGAUCA
rnacentral:lncRNA from 1 species